rnacentral:rRNA from 1 species
UGAAACCGUUCGGGGGUAAACGGACAGAGCCCGUGAAUCUGGACGGCGGAAUUCAGGGUUGACAGGCGCCACGCGCGUCUGUCUGUCUGAUGUUUCCGUCGUCGUACAGACGUUGCGACCUGUUCGACGUCGGUCCACGCUCGGAGGAGCCGUCAUCGAGUUCGUCGCCGCGCUCGUUUCGGCGUGCGUUGGCGACGAAGGUGCGCGGAUCGCUCUGGCCGACUUGUCCGGACAGUAUAUGUGCUCACGGUGUCCGGCGUCGUUACGCUCUCGCGAGUACGCGGCGUCCGGUACCGGUCGGCGACGAUUUCGUCGGGCCU